CUUCCUCCUCUUCUUCUUCCUCACACUUGGACGAAACUAACUCUUGCAAAAAAAACACAACCUUUGCGAAACACACAACCCUCAACGAAACACUUCAGACGGAACACACUCGGCGAAACUAACUCUUUCCGAAAAACUGAGCUUCACGAAACACACAACCCUCAACGAAACACUUCAGACGGAACACACUCAUACAAAACUAACUCUUGCCGAAAAACUGAGCUUCAUGAAACACACACACCCCUCAACGAAACACUUCAGACGAAACACACUCAUACGAAACUAACUCUUGCCGAAAAACUGAGCUUCAUGAAACACACACACCCCUUAACGCAACACUUCAGACGAAACUAACUCUUGCCGAAAUACUGAGCUUCAUGAAACACACACACCCCUUAACGCAACACUUCAGUCGAAACACACUCGGCGAAACUAACUCUUGCCGAAAAACUGAGCUUCACGAAACACACACACCCCUUAACGCAACACUUCAGACGGAACACACUCGACGAAACUAACUCUUCCCGACAAACACAGACUUUAAGAAACACACACAACCCUCAACGAAACACUUCCGACGAAAAUAACUCUUGCCAAAAAACACAAACUUUACGAAACACACGCACCCCUCAACGAAACACUUCAGACGAAACUAUCUCUUCCCGACAAACGUAGACUUCACGAAACACACACGGCCCUGAACGAAACACUUUAGACGAAAAUAACUCUUCCCGAAAAACACAUAGACUCCACGAAACACACACACCCCUCAACGAAACUAACUCUCGCCGACAGUACCGAGCCUUUUAUUAUUAUUAUUAUUGUUUCCCUUUUUUGUGCCCUUGAGCUGUCUCCUUCGUUGUAAAAUAAAUAAAUAAAUAAAUAAAUAAAAAAACACAAAUUCCGCGAAACACACAACCCUUGACGAAACACACUCGAAACCAACUCUUGCCAAAACAACACAAACUUCACGAAACACACAGCUACUGGUGGAACGAACCCUUCUCGGAACACACACACACACACACACACACACACACACACUCUGCCGGAACAUGAAAAAGCAACACUUGUCAACACAGAAUGAAACACAAAACUUCUGCCAUCGAAACACUAACACAGCGGCGAAACACAUGCUUGACGAAACUAACUUCACGAAACACAUUUUGGCCGAAACACAUGCUCGAUGAAACACUACAUAGACGAAACUAACUCCCUUGACGAAACGCUAAACACGCUCAACGAAACUCCCUUGACGAAACACUAAACCCACUCAACGAAACACUUUUGACGGAACGCACUCAGGGAACCAGCAGUAACACAUUCUUGACGCAACACUCGAUGAAGAAAAUUUUGACGAUGAUGAAGAAAAAGAAGAAAAAGACGAUGAAGGAGAAGAAGAAGAGGAAACAAAGAAGAACAAGGAAAAGAAACAGAAAACAAAGAAGUUAAAGAAAAAGAAAAAAGAAGAAAAAGAUGAAAAAAAACAAAAAAAAACUAGCCCACUACUGGCGAAACACUUUAUGAAACACACUCUUUGCGAAACACACUCCAGCCCACUCUUGGUGAAACACACUCUUUACAAAACACACUCCAGCCCACUCUUGCUGAAACACACUCUUGACGAAACACCCUGAUGGCGAAACACACUCCAGCCCACUCUUGCCGAAACACACUCUUGACGAAACACCCUGAUGGCGAAACACACUCUUGACAAAACACACUCCAGCCACUCUUGCCGAAACACACUCUUGACGAAACACCCUGAUGGCGAAACACACUCUUGACAAAACCCUGAUGACAAAACACACUUGACAAAACACACUCUUGACAAAACCCUGAUGGCAAAACACACUUGACGAAACACACUCUUGACGAAACACACUCUUGGCGAAACACACUCUUGGCAAAACCCUGAUGGCGAAACACACACUUUGGCGAAUCACACUCUCGGCGAAACACACUCUACGAAACACACUCAACGAAACUAACUCUCUCUACGAAACACACUGCAAAUUUGAGCUUCCCUUCUAAAACGUAAAACAUCAGUCUCGUACAAAACAUCUUCGGAACUUCACAAAUCAUAAUCAUAAAAUCUAAGUUAGCUAACGCAAUCUGACCUCAUUUGCCGUUCUCUAACAUAUCUUUUUAACACAGACUGAAUAUAAUAGGCUAGACUUGACCUCUGUUUUUCUGCUGUAUGUAUUUAUAAAAGCAAUGGAAAACGUAUCGAUCGUAAAUAUUGGUUAUUGAAUGUAAUCUGACCUCAUUUGCUGUUUUCUCUAAUAUCUUUUUAACACAGACUGAAUAUAAUAAGCUAGAUUUGAUGUUUUUUGCUGUUUGUGUUUAUAAGAGCAAUAGAAAACGUAUCAAUCGUAAAUAUUGGUUAUCUUAGUUUGACCUUAAUUUCCAUUCUCUCACAUAUCAUUUUAACACAGACUGAAUAUAAUAGGCUAGAUUUAACCUCUGUUUUUUUGCUGUAUGUAUUUAUAAAAGCAAUAGAAAACGUAUCAAUCGUAAACAUUGGUUAUCUUAGUUUGACCUUAAUUUCCAUUCUCUCACAUAUCAUUUUAACACAGACUGAAUAUAAUAGGCUAGAUUUGACCUCUGUUUUUUUGCUGUAUGUAUUUAUAAAAGCAAUAGAAAACGUAUCAAUCGUAAACAUUGGUUAUCUUAGUUUGACCUUAAUUUCCAUUCUCUCACAUAUCAUUUUAACACAGACUGAAUAUAAUAAGCUAGAUUUGAUGUUUUUUGCUGUUUGUGUUUAUAAAAGCAAUAGAAAACGUAUCAAUCGUAAAUAUUGGUUAUCUUAGUUUGACCUUAAUUUCCAUUCUCUCUAAUAUCUUUUUAACACAGACUGAACAAUAGGCUUCUUUGAUGUAUAUAUAAAAAGCUAUACAAUAUAUCUAAAUCCUAAAAUAUCUAAUCAUUCUAAUACAAUCUGAUCCCUUGUUGUCCUCUCUCUUGCAUGACAGACAGAAUACAGUACUUAAGACUUGAUCUCCCUUCACUGAGGCGUAGAAAUUGAUACAAAAUUCGAAUGCAGGUAACUCUCGAUUUACGCGAGUUUGGUUUACGCGUUUUUGAAAUACCGCGUGGUCCAAAAACCAAAUAGAUGUUUAAUUUACACGUUUUUUUUCACUUAUACGCGAUAUUUUAUGGAGUGGCCACCAGAUGUCUCACGCAACUGGACUCACACGGCCACACAGCUGAGCUCGGUUCUUCCCGCGCGCAACUUGAACAACAACACAGUACCCACGCUGCCACGCUACUCAACAACAACAACAACACCCUCGCUGCUGUGCUACCACGAGGGGAAGGGCAGCCAGAGGAGGAACCACGAGAGGGAGAGGAGUCAGAGUGAUACAAACCUACCUCUUGUUUGAUUUACAGUGUUUUUGAGUUACGCGACCUCUUCAAGGAUACAAUACCCGCGUCAAUCAAGAGUUACCUGUACUAAUAAUUUGGCGAUACUUCUGGCGAGACUGAUGACGAAAAUAAGUCUUGACGAACCACUAAAACAAUCUAAUCUCCUUCUGUUCUCUCUCCAAUACAAUCCGAUCCUUUUCUGUCCUUUCCGUUAAACCACCAUAGACCAAAUACAUUGUUAGACACUAUUUAUAUAACAUCGGAGAGUGUGUGUAUAUGUGAAUAGGUGAAUGGGUUUAAUAAGGGUCGUUAGUGAGGUCCUGGGAGUCUAGUUGAGCCUUGGGGUAUUGUCGGAAAGUCAUGAUUAUUAUUGUUAUUAUUAUUAUUAUUAUUAUUAUUAUUAUUAUUAUUGUCAAACACCUUCAUUCUUUCUUUCUUUACUUCCUCUGUGAUUGACACACACACACACACACACACACACACACACACACACACACACACACACACACAUUCCUCUCCUCCCUUCCUUCCCUUCCUUUCUUUCCCUCCUCCUCCUCAUCUUCUUCUUCCUCCUCUCUCUCCUCUUCCUCUUCCUCUCCAUUUCCUUCCUUCAUCUUCCUCCUCCUCCUCCUCCUUUUCAUUUCCUUCCUUCAUCUUCCUCCUCCUCCUCCUCCUCUUCUUCUUCUUUCUCUUCCUUCUUUCCUUCCAUUUCCUUCCUCUUCCUCCACCUCUCUCUCUCUCUCUCUCUCUCUCUCCCUACACACACACACACACACACACACACACACACACACACACACACACAGGUAAUACAUAUGAUAAACUAUCCAGAGAGCUUUUGUGACUUAUAAGAAUGUUUGCAUAGCGUGAUUUUUUUUUGUAUAUUUAGCGAGAUGGAAAAAAACACAUUAGAGAAAGAAUGAGGAGGAAAAAGAAGAAGAAGAAGAGUGAAUAUUAUGCAAACAACUUAAUAAUAUCGGAAAUACUAAUUCAACACACACACACACACACACACACACACACACACACACACAUAUAUUAAAAUCAUAACAUAUUAACACUAUCAGUAAAUACCCACUAAGAAAUAUCAUGGAAAAUACUGCUUCGAUGUUUUAAACCGAGCGGGAAAAUGUAUAUAAAUUAAAACUUGUGCAGAACAGUUUAAAAAAAAAUUAAUUAAACACAAAAAAAUUCAAAAUCGUACGAGAAUUGUGCGGAAGAAAUUCGAAAAAAAAAUGGGUUUAAAUAAUUAUAAUCAAUACUGUCCAAAAUCACACAGUCAUUUGAUGCAUAAAGUCUAAAUAUAAAUAUGGUCUAAUUUAGCUUGGUCUCAGUUAACCGGGAAGCAGCGGGGAUCAUGUUUGUUAACCCGUGCGCUUGGGCUACGGGAAGGCUGAGAAGUGGCUGAGAAACAUCAACAUUAACCUGCAUUUUGAGACUAAGAAAAGAUCAUGGAACGUACAUCUGAGUACUCCUCACGACCAUAAAACCAUUAAAAAUACUUACUUUUACCCAAACUCCAUUAUUUUUGUGUUUUUUUUUGUUAACUUAUACCCAAACUCCAUUAUUUUUGUGUUUUUUUUUGUUAACUUAUACCCAAACUCCAUUAUUUUUGUGUGUGGUGUUUGUUACAGAAUAAACAGUCUCGUGACGUGUGGCAUCUACCUGAGAGUCGCUUGCUGUCUACUAUAGAGAAUUUGACAUGUGAUUCCUGUAUGGGUAGCUAAUUCAGUCUGCCAUGACCUCACAGCACCACCCAUGACAAAAACCCCCACCUCAAAAUCACUCACCCACCACAGUGACCCAGGGCAUGCAUGGUGGGUUGCUCUAUUCCACCACCACCUACAAUCAGCUCGAAUUAGGUGUUUUAUGGCGAGCCCUGUUUAGGGUCCACCGUAUCACAGCCACGACCCGGGUUAAUGGUCCCUCCAAGCGAGAAAAAUGAGACUAAUCACCCCUCACACAAACUAUUUUAUAAUAUAUAUCGAAGCGUUUGUGAUCAGAUUAUGCAUCAUCUAUUUUUGGGGGGAUUAUAUCAUGGCACAAAUUUGGCCCGUCGCUGCUACUGGGUUAAAGGUCCCUCCAAGCAAGAAAAAUGAGACUAAUCACCCCUCACACAAACCAUUUCAUAAUACAUAUCAAAGCAUUUGUGAUCAGAUUAUGCAUCAUCUAUUUUUUUGGGGGUUAUAUCAUGGCACAAAUUUGGCCCGUCGCUGCUACUGGGUUAAUGGUCCCUCCAAGCGAGAAAAAUGAGAAAAAAUCACCCCUCACACAAACCAUUUCAUAAUAUAUAUCAAAGGAUUUGUGAUCAGUUUAUGUAUCAUCUAUUUUUGGGGGAUUAUAUCAUGGCACAAAUUUGGCCCGUCGCUGCUACUGGGUUAAUGGUCCCUCCAAGCGAGAAAAAUGAGACUAAUCACCCCUCACACAAACUAUUUCAUAAUAUAUAUCGAAGCGUUUGUGAUCAGAUUAUGUAUCAUCUAUUUUGGGGGGGAUUAUAUCAUGGCACAAAUUUGGCCCGUCACUGCUACACGGGUUAAAGGUCCCUCCAAGCAAGAAAAAUGAGAAAAAAUCACCCCUCACACAAACCAUUUCAUAAUAUAUAUCAAAGCGUUUGUGAUCAGAUUAUGUAUCAUCUAUUUUUGGGGGAUUAUAUCAUGGCACAAAUUUGGCCCGUCGCUGCUACACGGGUUAAUACGGUCUAAAUAUGUUCUGAAUUCACACGGUCUUAAUCGGAAGGUGUUUGGACGAGAACAAGAAAGUUAAACCACAAAAAAUAUUACUUAACACUAAACAAUAUCAACGCAAAUACUGAUGGAGUUACCAACACACACACACACACACACACACACACACACACACACACA